CCUACGGGGGGCAGCAGUCGGGAAUAUUGCGCAAUGGAGGAAACUCUGACGCAGUGACGCCGCGUGCAGGAAGAAGGUUUUCGGAUGGUAAACUGCUGUAGACAGGGAAGAAAAAAGACAGAACCUGGAGAAUAAGCGCCGGCUAACUACGUGCCAGCAGCCGCGGUAAUCCGUAGGGAGCAAGCGUUAUCCGGAUUUAUGGGGUGUAAAGGGUGCGUAGACGGAGAAGAAAGUUAGUGGUGAAAUCCCUCGGCUGAACUGCGGAACUGCAACUAAAACUCCUUCCCUUGAGUACUGGAGAGGCAAGUGGAAUUCCUAGUGUCGCGGUUACAUGCGUAGAUCUUAG
rnacentral:rRNA from 1 species